rnacentral:rRNA from 1 species
GACGAACCGUGCGAACGUUGUUCGGAAUCACUGGGCUUAAAGGGCGCGUAGGCGGGUUUUCAAGUCUGUGGUGAAAGCCUCCAGCUUAACUGGAGAAGUGCCGUGGAUACUGGAGACCUCGAGGAGGGUAGGGGCAUCUGGAACAGCCGGUGGAGCGGUGAAAUGCGUUGAUAUCGGCUGGAACUCCGAUGGCGAAGGCGGCUCACUGGCCCGGUACUGACGCUGAGGUGCGAAAGCGUGGGGAGCAAACAGG